GAUGAACGCUAGCUACAGGCUUAACACAUGCAAGUCGAGGGGAAACGACAUCGAAAGCUUGCUUUUGAUGGGCGUCGACCGGCGCACGGGUGAGUAACGCGUAUCCAACCUGCCCAUCACUUGGGAAUAACCUUGCGAAAGUAAGACUAAUACCCAAUGAUAUCCCACGAAGGCAUCGGAAUGGGAUUAAAGAUUUAUCGGUGAUGGAUGGGGAUGCGUCUGAUUAGCUUGUUGGCGGGGUAACGGCCCACCAAGGCAACGAUCAGUAGGGGUUCUGAGAGGAAGGGCCCCCACAUAGGAACUGAGACACGCUCCAAACACCUACGCGAGGCAGCAGAGAGGGAUAUUGUUGAAUGUGCGAGAGCCUGAACCAGCGAAGUAUCGUGCAGAAGGUCAGCCCUAUGUGUGGUAAACUGCGUUUAUAAGGGGAUAAAGUGUGUCUCUUGAGACUUUUUGCAUGUACCUUAUGAAUAAGGACCGGCUAAUUCCGUG
rnacentral:rRNA from 1 species